AUGGAGAUGUCGCCUCUCCUGAAGCUCGUCUCAAUCACUCUACUACUAAUACCGUGGUUUCCUCAUGCCAUGGCAGCGACAUCCCUCCUGGAAGAACAAGCAGAGGUCCUCCUUGCCUGGAAAGCCACACUCCAAAUCCAUCCAAGCCAGCUACAAUCCUGGGGAAGUGCAAACAACACUGCGCGGCCGUGCAGCUGGCAUGGCAUCAGGUGCAGCAAGCAUCGAGCAAGGCGCCAGGAGGUGAUCACCGAGAUCUCUCUACCCGGUUUGGGGCUCGGAGGGGAGCUCAACAACCUCAACUUCACUGUGCUGCGUACUCUGAUGAGCAUCCAACUCUCCAACAAUAAGAUAAGGGGCUCCUUUCCACCUGCUUUAGCAUCAUCCUUACCAAACCUGAGACACCUAAUGCUCCAAGAGAAUGAGCUUUCCGGUGAAAUACCAAGCCAAAUAAAACUACUAGAGAGUCUGGUUGUGUUGGAUUUCUCAGCCAACCACUUGUCUGGCCCCAUCCCCACUGAACUAGGCUACCUAAAGAAGCUGGCUAGGAUAGAUUUUUCCAACAACAGCCUCACUGGUCCUAUUCCAAGAAAUCUAGGGAAAUCAACUAGUAUCACAAUCUUGUACCUUGGUGGUAAUCGGUUAUCCGGAUACAUCCCUCAAGAACUAGGUUACCUGUUGUGUUUAAAUCAGUUGUCUCUUUGGAAAAACAAAUUAAUUGGUUCCAUCCCCAAUUCCUUUGGGAGAUUGAUUAACCUCAAAGGCUUGUACCUAUGGGGUAACCAACUUUCCGGACGUAUUCCUCAAGAACUUGGUUUCCUAGUAAAUUUAGAAGAGUUGGAUCUUAGCAGCAACCAACUGACGGGUUCCAUCCCCAGUACAUUUGGAAGUUUGUCAAAGCUCACUAUGUUGCACCUUUUUGGUAAUAAAUUAUCUGGAUAUCUUCCUCGAGAACUAAGAAACCUGUCAAAUCUUGAAUAUUUGGAACUUAACAACAACCAACUCAUGGGUUUCAUCCCCCAUAUCUUUGUAAAUUUGACAAAGCUCUCUAUCUUGCGCCUUGAUGCUAACCACUUCUAUGGAUAUCUUCCUCGAGAACUAGGUUACAUGGUGAAUCUUGAUAACUUGGAUCUAAGCGAGAACAAACUCAUUGGUUCCAUCCCCAAUACAUUUGGAAGUUUAACUAAGCUCACUCGCUUGUACCUAUGGGGUAACCAACUUUCCGGAAGUAUUCCUCAAGAACUUGGUUUCCUAGUAAAUUUAGAAGAGUUGGAUCUUAGCAGCAACCAACUGACGGGUUCCAUCCCCAGUACAUUUGGAAGUUUGUCAAAGCUCACUAUGUUGCACCUUUUUGGUAAUAAAUUAUCUGGAUAUCUUCCUCAAGAACUAGGCAACCUGUCAAAUCUUGAAUAUUUGGAUCUUAACAACAACCAACUCAUGGGUUCCAUCCCCCAUAUCUUUGUAAAUUUGACAAAGCUCUCUAUCUUGCACCUUGAUGCUAACCACUUCUAUGGAUAUAUUCCUCGAGAACUAGGUUACAUGGUGAAUCUUGAUAACUUGGGUCUAAGCGACAACAAUCUCAUGGGAUCCAUUCCCAAUACCUUUGGAAGUUUGGCUAAGCUCACUGGCUUGCACCUUGAUGGUAAUCAGUUAACCGGACAUAUUCCUCGAGAACUAGGUUACCUGGUGGAUUUAGAAGAAUUGGCUCUUAGCAAUAACAAGCUCACUGGUUCCAUCCCUGAUGUCAUUGGAAAGUUGACUAAGCUCAGAAAAUUGCGUCUCGGUGAAAAUAAUUUCUCCGGAAAAAUUCCUCAAGAAAUCGGUACCUUUAUGAAUCUUGUGGUCCUGCAACUUGGCGCAAACAAUUUCUCUGGUCCCUUGCCACCUGAGUUGUGUGCUGGAGGCCUUCUCCAGAAUUUAACUGCAUUUGAUAACAAUCUGAAUGGACAAUUGCCAUCAAGUUUGGGAAACUGCAAAAGCCUAGUUCGAGUUCGUCUUGAAAGGAAUCAAAUAGAAGGUGAUAUCUCUGAGUUGGGAGUUCAUCCUAAUCUUGUUUAUAUGGACAUGAGUUCAAAUAAACUAUUUGGUCAAUUGUCUUAUCACUGGGGAGGAUGUCAUAAUCUUACCAAGCUAGGCAUAUCAAACAACAACAUCACAGGGAAAAUACCUGCAAGUAUGGGGAGGCUAUCUCAGCUAAAUGUACUUGAUCUCUCCUCAAACAGUCUCGAAGGAGAGCUUCCUAGAGAACUAGGCAAUUUAGAACGAUUAUUCCAGCUGCAUCUUGCAGAUAAUUUGUUCCAUGGAAGCAUACCACAAGAAUUUGGAGCAUUGUCCAGUCUAGAGUCGUUGGAUUUAUCAUCAAAUAACCUUAGUGGUUUGGUACAAGGAUCAAUUGAGAAUUGUUUGAAGCUCCGCUCAUUGAAUUUGAGUCACAAUAAUUUUAAAGGAAACAUCCCUGUAGUGCUUGGGGUGUUGAACAACUUACAUGACAUGUUGGAUUUAAGUGAUAAUUCAUUUACUGGGAAAAUACCUAGCCAACUUAGUGGUCUGAUAAUGCUGGAUAAUUUGAAUCUUUCACACAAUGAACUUUAUGGUGUAAUCCCAUCAUCAUUUCAGAGUAUGAAAAGCUUGACAUCCAUUGAUUUGUCUUACAAUGAAUUGGAAGGACCAGUCCCAGAGAGUAAGCUCUUCAAAGGAGCUCCAGUUCAGUGGUUCAUCCAUAAUAAGAUGCUAUGUGGCAUAGUGGAAGGAUUGCCUCCUUGCAAUAACACAACUUGGAGUGGAGGGAAAAGGAAACGGUACAAAACACUUGUACUAGCCAUGAUUACUCCUCUAGUAUCUCUUAUUCUUGUUGCGGUGACGUUGAUGUUCACAAAUGCAAGGAAGAAAUCCAUGAAAAUUAAAGAGGAUAUAGUAACACCCAAAAAAGUAUUCUCUAUUUGGAAUUUUGAUGGGGAGGAUGUAUUCAAACAAAUAGUUGAAGCAACCAAUGAUUUUAGUGAAACACAUUGCAUAGGGACUGGGGGAUAUGGAUCUGUCUAUAAAGCCAAACUUGCAACAUCUGAAAUAUUUGCAGUGAAGAAGAUACACAUGAUCGAAGAUAACUAUUGUGUGAACGAGUUGGUAUUCAAUAGUGAAAUCGAGGCAUUGGUGCAGACUCGGCAUAGAAACAUCGUAAAACUAUAUGGAUAUUGUUCCUCUAGCCAAGGCAAAUAUCUUAUCUAUGAAUAUAUGGAGAGGGGAAACUUGGCAGAAACACUAAGGAACAAUGAAAGGGCAAUUGAAUUGGACUGGAGAAGGCGGAUAAAUAUUGCACUAGAUGUUGUUCAUGCUUUGGCAUACAUGCAUCAUGAUUGUUCAUUACCAAUAGUCCACAGAGAUAUAACAAGCAACAACAUUUUACUUGAUCUGGAAUUUAGGGCUUGCAUCUCCGACUUCGGUAUGGCUAAAAUUCUCAAUAUUGAUGGUCGAAAUCUCACAAGUCUUGUUGGGACGAAAGGCUAUAUUGCCCCAGAGCUAUCAUAUACAGAGAAUGUGACGGAGAAAUGUGAUGUAUACAGCUUCGGAGUUCUUGUUCUAGAGCUAUUUAUGGGAUGCCAUCCAGGAGAUUUUCUCUUUUCUCUCUUGUCAUCCACCAAAAAUAAUGAUGUGUGCUUGCAAGAUGUGUUAGACUCAAGGCUCAUUGUCCCUAAUGCUGAAACUGCUAGGGAAAUAUACUACAUCCUCAGUGUUGCAGCUCGGUGUCUUGAGCCUAACCCAUCAAGCAGACAAACAUCACGACGUGCUAGUGACGAGCUAUCUGUGAUUAAAGUAUGUGAAGAUCAUGUUGAUUAUAUGCAUAUUGGCCUCAGAAUUCCUGCAAAACAGUGCCUAUGA
rnacentral:rRNA from 1 species